rnacentral:rRNA from 1 species
UACGUAGGGUGCGAGCGUUAAUCGGAAUUACUGGGCGUAAAGCGUACGCAGACGGUGAGAAAGGUCGGAUGUGAAAGCCCCGGGCUCAACCCGGGAACUGCAUCCGAAACCAUCUCGCUAGAGUAUGGGAGAGGGAAGCAGAAUUCCUGGUGUAGAGGUGAAAUUCGUAGAUAUCAGGAGGAAUACCUGCGGCGAAGGCGGCUUCCUGGCCCAUUACUGACGUUCAGGUACGAAAGCGUGGGUAGCAAACAGG